UUCUUAUCAGAUGAUGACUAUCACGUGUCAUGUUCUGAUUGGUCAACUCCAUGAAAGAUGAAAUACAUUGUUGUUUUCAUUGAUCAAUUAGAACAUAUCUAAUAAGAACAUGAGACGUGGCAGUCAACAUCA
rfam:Glycine max cultivar Williams 82 chromosome 5, whole genome shotgun sequence.